rnacentral:rRNA from 1 species
CUCAGGAUGAACGCUAGCGGCAGGCUUAACACAUGCAAGUCGAGGGGUAUAUUUCUUCGGAGAUAGAGACCGGCGCACGGGUGCGUAACGCGUAUGCAAUCUACCUUUUACAGAGGGAUAGCCCAGAGAAAUUUGGAUUAAUACCUCAUAGUAUAUAUGCACGGCAUCGUGAUUAUAUUAAAGUCACAACGGUAAAAGAUGAGCAUGCGUCCCAUUAGCUAGUUGGUAAGGUAACGGCUUACCAAGGCUACGAUGGGUAGGGGUCCUGAGAGGGAGAUCCCCCACACUGGUACUGAGACACGGACCAGACUCCUACGGGAGGCAGCAGUGAGGAAUAUUGGACAAUGGGCGCAAGCCUGAUCCAGCCAUGCCGCGUGCAGGAUGACGGUCCUAUGGAUUGUAAACUGCUUUUAUACGAGAAGAAACACUACUUCGUGAAGUAGCUUGACGGUAUCGUAAGAAUAAGGAUC